UUGCAGAUGCAAAAUCCAAACUGCAUGGUGAUGGUUGAUAAUUGCUAUGGUGAAUUUGUUGAGAUAUCGGAACCUGCAAUGGUGGGAGCAGACUUGAUUGCUGGAAGUUUGAUAAAGAAUCCAGGUGGAACUAUUGCGCCUUGUGGUGGUUAUGUUGCUGGGAAGGAGCAUUUAGUCGAAGCAGCUGCAGCCCGUCUAUCUGCACCUGGCCUUGGGGUGGAAUUUGGGUCAACACCUGGCCAUGUUAUGCGUGCGCUGUUUCAAGGCCUGUUUCUUGGUCCGCAAAUGGUUGGAGAAGCAGUAAAAGGAGGUUUGCUCAUUGCGGAAGUCAUGUCAGCCAAGGGAUACAAAGUUGAACCACUUCCGAGGGUUCCUCGUCAUGAUAUUGUGCAGGUGAAAUCUAGCCUUAGAUAACUAGCUAGCACGUG